rnacentral:rRNA from 1 species
GAUGAACGCUGGCGGCGUGCUUAACACAUGCGAGUCGAACGAGAAGUGAAGACGGAAACCUUCGGGCGGAAGGCUUUAUUUCGAGUGGCGGACGGGUGAGUAACGCGUGGGUAACCUGCCUCAUACAGGGGGAUAACAGUUGGAAACGACUGUUAAUACCGCAUAAGACCACAGCACCGCAUGGUGCGGGGGUAAAAACUCCGGUGGUAUGAGAUGGACCCGCGUUCGAUUAGCCAGUUGGCGGGGUAACGGCCCACCAAAGCGACGAUCGAUAGCCGAUCUGAGAGGAUGACCGGCCACAUUGGGACUGAGACACGGCCCAAACUCCUACGGGAGGCAGCAGUGGGGAAUAUUGCACAAUGGGGGAAACCCUGAUGCAGCGACGCCGCGUGAGUGAAGAAGUAUUUCGGUAUGUAAAGCUCUAUCAGCAGGGAAGAAAAUGACGGUACCUGAGUAAGAAGCCCCGGCUAACUACGU